UACGUAGGGGGCAAGCGUUGUCCGGAUUUAUUGGGCGUAAAGAGCUCGUAGGCGGUUCCGUAAGUCGGGUGUGAAAAAUCUGGGCUCAACCCAGUGGAGCACCCGAUACUGCGGUGACUCGAGUCCGGUAGGGGAGUGUGGAAUUCCUGGUGUAGCGGUGAAAUGCGCAGAUAUCAAGAGGAACACCUGCGGCGAAGGCGGGUUGCUGGGCCGACACUGACGCUGAAGUGCGAAAGCCAGGGGAGCGAACGGG
rnacentral:rRNA from 1 species